UUUCCGGUUGAUCCUGCCGGAGGACAUUGCUAUUGGGAUUCGAUUUAGCCAUGCUAGUCGAGCGAGUUCAGACUCGCGGCAGAUAGCUCAGUAACACGUGGCCAAGCUACCCUGCAGACGGGGACACCUCGGGAAACUGACGGGAAUCCCCCAUACCGGUCUCACGCUGGAAUGCCGAGACCGACAAACGCUCCGGCGCUGCAGGAUGCGGCUGCGGCCGAUUAGGUAGACGGUGGGGUAACGGCCCACCGUGCCAAUAAUUGGUACGGGGUGUGAGAGUGAGAACCCGGAGACGGAAUCUGAGACAAGAUUCCGGGCCCUACGGGGCGCAGCAGGCGCGAAACCUUUACACUGCACGAACGUGCGAUAAGGGGACUCCGAGUGCGAGGGCAUACAGUCCUCGCUAUUGUGUACCGUAGGGUGGUACACGACCAAGAGCUGGGCAAGACCGGUGCCAGCCGCCGCGGUAAUACCGGCAGCUCGAGUGAUGGCCGAUUUUAUUGGGCCUAAAGCGUCCGUAGCUGGCCCUGCAAGUCCGUCGGGAAAUCCACUCGCCUAACGAGUGGGCGUCCGGCGGAAACUACAGGGCUUGGGACCGGAAGACUUGAGGGGUACGUCUGGGGUAGGAGUGAAAUCCUGUAAUCCUGGACGGACCGCCGAUAGCGAAAGCACCUCAAGACGACGGAUCCGACAGUGAGGGACGAAAGCUAGGGUCUCGAACCGGAUUAGAUACCCGGGUAGUCCUAGCUGUAAACGAUGUUCGCUAGAUGUGACACAGGCUACGUGCCUGUGCUGUGUCGUAGGGAAGCCGAGAAGCGACCCGCCUGGGAAGUACGUCCGCAAGGAUGAAACUUAAAGGAAUUGGCGGGGGAGCACUACAACCGGAGGAGCCUGCGGUUUAAUUGGAUUCAACGCCGGAA
rnacentral:rRNA from 1 species